GACGAACGCUGGCGGCGUGCUUAACACAUGCAAGUCGAACGGUAAGGCCCUUCGGGGUACACGAGUGGCGAACGGGUGAGUAACGCGUGAGUAACCUGCCCUUCACUCUGGGAUAACAGUUGGAAACGGCUGCUAAUACCGGAUAUUCAGCUCCUGUCGCAUGGGGGGGGUUGGAAAGUUUUGGUGGUGGAGGAUGGGCUCGCGUCCUAUCAGCUUGUUGGUGGGGUGAUGGCCUACCAAGGCGUCGACGGGUAGCCGGCCUGAGAGGGCGACCGGCCACAUUGGGACUGAGAUACGGCCCAGACUCCUACGGGAGGCAGCAGUGGGGAAUAUUGCACAAUGGGCGGAAGCCUGAUGCAGCAACGCCGCGUGCGGGAUGACGGCCUUCGGGUUGUAAACCGCUUUCAGCAGGGACGAAGCGCAAGUGACGGUACCUGCAGAAGAAGCACCGGCUAACUACGUG
rnacentral:rRNA from 1 species